rnacentral:rRNA from 1 species
GACGAACGCUGGCGGCGUGCCUAAUACAUGCAAGUCGAACGCUGAAGGAGGAGCUUGCUUCUCCGGAUGAGUUGCGAACGGGUGAGUAACGCGUAGGUAACCUGCCUGGUAGCGGGGGAUAACUAUUGGAAACGAUAGCUAAUACCGCAUAAGAGUAGAUGUUGCAUGACAUUUGCUUAAAAGGUGCAAUUGCAUCACUACCAGAUGGACCUGCGUUGUAUUAGCUAGUUGGUGAGGUAACGGCUCACCAAGGCGACGAUACAUAGCCGACCUGAGAGGGUGAUCGGCCACACUGGGACUGAGACACGGCCCAGACUCCUACGGGAGGCAGCAGUAGGGAAUCUUCGGCAAUGGACGGAAGUCUGACCGAGCAACGCCGCGUGAGUGAAGAAGGUUUUCGGAUCGUAAAGCUCUGUUGUAAGAGAAGAACGAGUGUGAGAGUGGAAAGUUCACACUGUGACGGUAUCUUACCAGAAAGGGACGGCUAACUACGUG